rnacentral:rRNA from 1 species
UGCGGAGGGAUCAUUACCGAGUUUACAACUCCCAAACCCCUGUGAACAUACCUUAAUGUUGCCUCGGCGGAUCAGCCCGCGCCCCGUAAAACGGGACGGCCCGCCAGAGGACCCAAACUCUAAUGUUUCUUAUUGUAACUUCUGAGUAAAACAAACAAAUAAAUCAAAACUUUCAACAACGGAUCUCUUGGUUCUGGCAUCGAUGAAGAACGCAGCAAAAUGCGAUAAGUAAUGUGAAUUGCAGAAUUCAGUGAAUCAUCGAAUCUUUGAACGCACAUUGCGCCCGCUGGUAUUCCGGCGGGCAUGCCUGUUCGAGCGUCAUUUCAACCCUCAAGCCCCCGGGUUUGGUGUUGGGGAUCGGCUCUGCCCUUCUGGGCGGUGCCGCCCCCGAAAUACAUUGGCGGUCUCGCUGCAGCCUCCAUUGCGUAGUAGCUAACACCUCGCAACUGGAACGCGGCGCGGCCAUGCCGUAAAACCCCAACUUCUGAAUGUGAC